CAAGAUUCACUCUCGUGACUCCAGCUAAUUAUGGGAUUAUUGCACUGUUUAUACAUAAUUAUGCAUAGCCAGCCCUCUAACACUUAUAUUAAUACGUCUGCUUAAUUAAUAUGAUUUCUCAAGCCUUUGAUCAAACUGGUUUAAACCCGACCAGCCCGGCUCUCUUCCAAUCCUUCCUCGGAAUAGUACGUCCGGCUGCGUUUAAUUGGUAUGUUAUUUUCAUUUUCAUUUAGUGUGUGUACCUUACGCUAAAAAAUCAUCUAAACAUUCAAGAACGCGUUUAAACCCAAAAAUAAAAUAAAACCUCAUAUAUGUCUCUUUUCCUUGAUCAGAUUGGAAGUUCAAGCAUGGUGAUGAGGAGCCUAAUCAAGUUGUUAGGGACUCUGAAAUCAAACUGAGGUUUUUAAACAAAAUAAAUGCGUAUUCAGAAAUUGAGAAAACUGAGAGCAUGAGGAUGGACAUGAUGCACAGGAAAGCUCAGGCAUCAAUUGUACCGACUCUGAAGAAUGCCGAUUACCGGAGGAAAAAGAGCCACGCACAUAGCCGCUGAUCCGUGAUCGAUUGAAACCAGAAUUUCCCUUUUUAUUUAUUUGAUUUGGAGAGGAGCAAGAUAUACGUUCUGCAGCUAUUUGUUUCAGCGGUUUCUACUGUUUCAAGUCAUCAGUGUUUUAAGUCAUAUGAAAAUAGCUCUGCAGCUAUUUGUUUAAGCAGUUUUAACUGUUUCAAGUCAUCACAGCGCCACUUUGAGGUGUUACAACUUCUUAAUUCAGUUUAUAUUUUGUGACUUUUCUUCUAAAACAAGCGAUAUUGGAAAAAGACUAUUUGUAAUUUAGAAUAUCGGAUGUAAGGAUGAAUGUUUUUAAUUAACUAAACUAUUAAUCUCCUGCUGAAUUUUGAGACGUUUAAUAAAAAGAAGAAAUAUAAUUACUUGGAAAAAGAAAUUAAGUCAAGUCAAUAAGAUUGUGACCGUAUGAAGGAACAAUU
rnacentral:lncRNA from 1 species